GGUUCUUUCUGUGCUUUCUUUUUGUUUUUGUUUUUAUAUUAAAAGAUUAGCAAGUCCCCUGUGCAAGGAUGACAAGCAAUUUUGUGAAGCAUUCCACAUUUCU
rfam:Octopus bimaculoides Scaffold256_contig_3, whole genome shotgun sequence.